GACGUAGGGGGCGAGCGUUGUCCGGAAUUACUAGGCGUAAAGGGCAGGCAGGCGGAUCCAUAAGUUUAUCGUUUAAGGCGUCGGCUUAACCGGCGUAGGGCGGUAGAUACUGUGGAUCUGGAAUGCGGUUGGGGAAGACAGAAUUCCUGGUGUAGCGGUGGAAUGCGCAGAGAUCAGGAGGAAUACCGAAGGCGAAGGCAGUCUUCCAAGCCGUUAUUGACGCUCAACUGCGAAGGUGUGGGUAUCAAACAGGAUUAGAUACCCUGGUAGUCCCUGA
rnacentral:rRNA from 1 species